rnacentral:rRNA from 1 species
UCAGUGGCUCGAGGACGAACGGCUGGCGGCGUGCUUAACACAUGCAAGUCGAGCGGAAAGGCUCCUUCGGGGGUACUCGAGCGGCGAACGGGUGAGUAACACGUGAGUAAUCUGCCCUUGGCUUCGGGAUAACUACCGGAAACGGUGGCUAAUACCGGAUAUGACCACUCCUUGCAUGAGGUGGUGGUGGAAAGUUUUUUCGGCCAGGGAUGUGCUCGCGGCCUAUCAGCUUGUUGGUGGGGUAAUGGCCUACCAAGGCUUCGACGGGUAGCCGGCCUGAGAGGGUGACCGGCCACACUGGGACUGAGACACGGCCCAGACUCCUACGGGAGGCAGCAGUGGGGAAUAUUGGACAAUGGGCGGAAGCCUGAUCCAGCAACGCCGCGUGAGGGAUGACGGCCUUCGGGUUGUAAACCUCUUUCAGUACCGACGAAGCGCCGAUGAUGGUGGUGACGGUAGGUACAGAAGAAGCACCGGCCAACUACGUG